GCGGCGUCUGGACCCGGCGGCCUGGGAACCGGGGGCAGGCGGGGAGGGCAGAGAGCCGGCGGCACGGGGGACCCCGGGCGCUGGGUGGCCGGACGUCUGCGCCUGUCCCCGGCGCCCGGACUCCGCAGCGGGCCUCCUCCCACAGAGGAGGAACCUGCGGAUGGAAAGGAAGAGCCUCACUUGCCAACCUCGCUCUCAGCAGGGAAGCGCACGCCGCAGCGAGGCUCCUCCUAGAAGCCUAGUUUGCAGGUCCCUCCAAAAGGGGAUCUUCGGGACGCGUCCUUCGCGACGUUUGCCGGCACGCCCUCACGUGUCCCAACGGACCCCGCCGGCGCUGGUGGGGUUGGCACCGUUUUCACGCCUCCCCGAGAGGGCCUGGAUUCGGAUUGUUAGCGGAGGGGAAUUCGCACGCGGAAGCGCCCUGCUGAAGUCCCCUGCAGGAGUCCCUGUCCUCAAAGGUUCCUUUUCCCAACUGCCCCCCUGUCCAGUGUCCCCUGUCCGGUUUGCACUCUUCACGGAUGGAGUCAUAAAGAUCAGUACUGGGACUGCGACCCCCGCGCCCUGGACCGGUUACAAGUCCCUUCCACCUUCAGGGCCUGGUCCCCAGAUGUGCCGUGAGUGCCCACAGAGGGCCUGUCCCCGUGCUAGACCCCGUAGGGGGCUCCGAUCGGUCCUGAAAAUGCUCGAACUGAAGUAACACACGUCAGGAACAGGAACAGGUGAUUAGUGCUGCAAGGAGCACGUGCUUGGCCCCAAGACAAUGCACUAGGACGCAGACAUUCAAAGACGACCUACUUUUUAAGAUCUGUCUUGGCUUGUCCUAAUUUGGGGAGACAGCAUGCUCUAAAGAUUAGAACACCAUCUGGCACCUUCAUAUAAAGUUAAAUAUACAUCUCUCCUAUAACAAAGAAUUCUGCUUCUAGAUGUAUCUCCAAAAGAAAUAAAACUUAUGUUCACAAAAAAUUAGUA